rnacentral:rRNA from 1 species
UACAGAGGGGGCAAGCGUUGUUCGGAAUUACUGGGCGUAAAGGGCGCGUAGGCGGCCGCCUAAGUCAGACGUGAAAUCCCUCGGCUCAACCGGGGAACUGCGUCUGAUACUGGGUGGCUUGAAUCCGGGAGAGGGAUGCGGAAUUCCAGGUGUAGCGGUGAAAUGCGUAGAUAUCGGGAGGAACAUCAGUGGCGAAGGCGGCCUUCUGGUCCAGUACUGACACUCAAGUGCGAAAGCGUGGGGAGCAAACAGG